UAGGGAAUAUUGCAAAAUGGGCGAAAGCCCGAUGCAGCAACGCCGCGUGGGCGAUGAAGGCCUUCGGGUCGUAAAGCCCUUUUUGAGGGGAUGAGGAAGGACAGUACCCUCAGAAUAAGCCUCGGCUAACUACGUGCCAGCAGCCGCGGUAAAACGUAGGAGGCGAGCGUUAUCCGGAUUUACUGGGCGUAAAGCGCGUGCAGGCGGAUUGGAGAGUUGGAUGUGAAGCUCCCGGCUUAACUGGGAGAGGUCGUUCAAUACUUCCAGUCUUGAGUGCAGUAGAGGGAAGUGGAAUUCCGGGUGUAGUGGUGAAAUGCGUAGAUAUCCGGAGGAACACCAGUGGCGAAAGCGGCUUCCUGGACUGUAACUGACGCUCAGACGCGAAAGCUAGGGUAGCAAACG
rnacentral:rRNA from 1 species